rnacentral:lncRNA from 1 species
AAAAAAAUGGUGCAGAAAAAAUCGAAAAAUGGAAGGAAGAAAAGAGGAAGGAGGAGAAGAAAUCAUCAUCAAAUUCUACUAUCUUUUGCUGGGAAUUAAUCCUGUAAUUGGGCUACAAUUUAAGGUAAAGGAAAAUUUUGAUUUCCUGUUCUAAUUAGUUGGUGUGCAUGACAAGGGGUGGAAAUUAAAUUGAACUCUUGUUUCCAUUUUCUUUUAAUUAGUUAAGUAAAGAAGGAUUAAUAAGUAAUAUCAAUUAAGUAUAAUUUGUAAAGAAAAACAAUUAUAAUCAUGUAAAAUCAGCCGCAUGUGUACCUUGAAACUAAGAUAUAUAAUUGGAUGUAUUGGGGGAAAAUAAUUAAAGUAUCAAUUUUAUUGAAGGAGAAAUGAACAGGAACUGAAUGGUAAGCUAAUGAGAUUAAUUAUUGGUUAAAUGAUAUUGGCUAAAUAAUUGUUUAUAAUUUACUUUGAAUAAGGAAAUAAUUGAGUAGUGGACUUGAGUGAACCGAGUGGAAAAUUCUUUAAAUGAGGAAUUAUAUUAGAUGACUACUCAUUAUUUAACAUGUUUGGUCUUGAUUCGAGUAAUUAUAUUGUCAAUUCAGGAGGUGGAUGUAGAAGUGAGAAAAGUCAAUAAACCUAGCUAGUUCAUUGCUAAGAACUCGGUGAGUGGAAAAAUAUAAAUAUUUUUAAAGUAUUUAUAAAUUAAGUUUAUUGUUAAAGUAUGUGCAAUUAUAUGCAAUUAUGUGUUCAAAUUACAUGGUUUUUAUGGAAAUAUCUUUUAUUAUGAUACAUGUGGGAUUUCAAAGAUUGUAUACGUUACAUUGUGAAUUGGAAUUGAGAUAUGAUUUUGAGAUCGACCAGAAAAGCACCCGUGAUUAUAUAUUUCUUCUAGUUCACUGAGGGACCUUGGCCGUGCUCUAUACUACACUGAGGGGUCAUGGACCGUGGAUGAAGGGGUCUCAACCGUGUACAUAUAGUUCACUGAGGGGCCUUGGUCGUGUUCUAGAAUUGAUUAUGAGAGAUCUUUGAGACCGACUUUCGUUCACGGAGGGGCCAAAGGCCCGUGGUGAAAGUUCUUAGCCCGAGGGGCGGAUUAUUUAUUUUAUCAGAGGAUACAUUUUUGGUGGAUUUUUCAGUACGUUUGAUGUGAUGAGAUUAUAGUAUGGUUAUCAGCUGAUGUCUAUAUCAUGAUUUUAAGAUGAUAUUUUAUGACUUUAUGUGAAUAUUUCACUCUUUGGCUAUAAUUACAUGAUGGUAGCUUGUGAAUUAUCAAAUAAUAUGAAUUUGAUAUUCGAUAAAAAAUGUAUAAAUGAAAAAGCAUAUUUAUUUCGAACUUCUCCACUCACUGAGCUAUCAACUCAUAUAUUUUUCCGUAAUUUUCCUACAGGUGGAAAAUUGAUUCUUUUUAGCUGGAAGAGCCUAAUGAUUUCGGAAUGAGAGCCACACGACAUGUUGAAUAUUAUAACUCAUAUUGAUGAAGCACGGAGUAAAUAUUUUGGGCCCAUCGCAUUAUAUUUUACAUAAGCAUUUGGUUUUAUUGCAUUUUUUUGAAAUA